rnacentral:rRNA from 1 species
AGGGAAUCUUCGGCAAUGGACGGAAGUCUGACCGAGCAACGCCGCGUGAGUGAAGAAGGUUUUCGGAUCGUAAAGCUCUGUUGUAAGAGAAGAACGAGUGUGAGAGUGGAAAAUUCACACUGUGACGGUAUCUUACCAGAAAGGGACGGCUAACUACGUGCCAGCAGCCGCGGUAAUACGUAGGUCCCGAGCGUUGUCCGGAUUUAUUGGGCGUAAAGCGAGCGCAGGCGGUUAGAUGAGUCUGAAGUUAAAGGCUGUGGCUUAACCAUAGUACGCUUUGGAAACUGUUUAACUUGAGUGCAGAAGGGGAGAGUGGAAUUCCAUGUGUAGCGGUGAAAUGCGUAGAUAUAUGGAGGAACACCGGUGGCGAAAGCGGCUCUCUGGUCUGUAACUGACGCUGAGGCUCGAAAGCGUGGGGAGCAAACAGGAUUAGAUACCCUGGUAGUCCACGCCGUAAACGAUGAGUGCUAGGUGUUGGGUCCUUUCCGGGACUCAGUGCCGCAGCUAACGCAUUAAGCACUCCGCCUGGGGAGUACGACCGCAAGGUUG